rnacentral:rRNA from 1 species
AGCAGCCGCGGUAAUUCCAGCUCCAAUAGCGUAUAUUAAAGUUGUUGCAGUUAAAAAGCUCGUGGUUGAAUUUCGGGGUCAGUAGGUCGGUCGUGCCACUGGUAUGAACUGGUUUUACUGAUUCCUCCCUCUUGAAGAACUGUAAUGCCAUUAAUUUGGUGUUGCAGGGAAUCAGGACUGUUACUUUGAAAAAUUAGAGUGUUUAAAGCAGGCUUUAGCUUGAAUACAUUAGCAUGGAAUAAUGAAAUAGGACGUUUGAUCCUAUUUUGUUGGUUUCUAGGAUUGACGUAAUGAUUAAUAGGGAUAGUUGGGGGCAUUAGUAUUCAAUUGUCAGAGGUGAAAUUCUUGGAUUUAUUGAAGACUAACUACUGCGAAAGCAUUUGCCAAGGAUGUUUUCAUUAAUCAAGAACGAAAGUUAGGGGAUCGAAGACGAUCAGAUACCGUCGUAGU